AGAGUUUGAUCCUGGCUCAGGACGAACGCUGGCGGCGUGCCUAAUACAUGCAAGUCGAACGCUUCUUUUUCCACCGGAGCUUGCUCCACCGGAAAAAGAGGAGUGGCGAACGGGUGAGUAACACGUGGGUAACCUGCCCAUCAGAAGGGGAUAACACUUGGAAACAGGUGCUAAUACCGUAUAACAAUCAAAACCGCAUGGUUUUGAUUUGAAAGGCGCUUUCGGGUGUCGCUGAUGGAUGGACCCGCGGUGCAUUAGCUAGUUGGUGAGGUAACGGCUCACCAAGGCCACGAUGCAUAGCCGACCUGAGAGGGUGAUCGGCCACAUUGGGACUGAGACACGGCCCAAACUCCUACGGGAGGCAGCAGUAGGGAAUCUUCGGCAAUGGACGAAAGUCUGACCGAGCAACGCCGCGUGAGUGAAGAAGGUUUUCGGAUCGUAAAACUCUGUUGUUAGAGAAGAACAAGGAUGAGAGUAACUGUUCAUCCCUUGACGGUAUCUAACCAGAAAGCCACGGCUAACUACGUGCCAGCAGCCGCGGUAAUACGUAGGUGGCAAGCGUUGUCCGGAUUUAUUGGGCGUAAAGCGAGCGCAGGCGGUUUCUUAAGUCUGAUGUGAAAGCCCCCGGCUCAACCGGGGAGGGUCAUUGGAAACUGGGAGACUUGAGUGCAGAAGAGGAGAGUGGAAUUCCAUGUGUAGCGGUGAAAUGCGUAGAUAUAUGGAGGAACACCAGUGGCGAAGGCGGCUCUCUGGUCUGUAACUGACGCUGAGGCUCGAAAGCGUGGGGAGCAAACAGGAUUAGAUACCCUGGUAGUCCACGCCGUAAACGAUGAGUGCUAAGUGUUGGAGGGUUUCCGCCCUUCAGUGCUGCAGCUAACGCAUUAAGCACUCCGCCUGGGGAGUACGACCGCAAGGUUGAAACUCAAAGGAAUUGACGGGGGCCCGCACAAGCGGUGGAGCAUGUGGUUUAAUUCGAAGCAACGCGAAGAACCUUACCAGGUCUUGACAUCCUUUGACCACUCUAGAGAUAGAGCUUCCCCUUCGGGGGCAAAGUGACAGGUGGUGCAUGGUUGUCGUCAGCUCGUGUCGUGAGAUGUUGGGUUAAGUCCCGCAACGAGCGCAACCCUUAUUGUUAGUU
rnacentral:rRNA from 1 species